rnacentral:rRNA from 1 species
AUUGAACGCUGGCGGCAUGCUUUACACAUGCAAGUCGAACGGUAACAGGCCGCAAGGUGCUGACGAGUGGCGAACGGGUGAGUAAUGCAUCGGAACGUGCCCAGUCGUGGGGGAUAACUACUCGAAAGAGUAGCUAAUACCGCAUACGAUCUAUGGAUGAAAGCGGGGGACCGUAAGGCCUCGCGCGAUUGGAGCGGCCGAUGUCAGAUUAGGUAGAUGGUGGGGUAAAGGCUCACCAAGCCAACGAUCUGUAGCUGGUCUGAGAGGACGACCAGCCACACUGGGACUGAGACACGGCCCAGACUCCUACGGGAGGCAGCAGUGGGGAAUUUUGGACAAUGGGCGCAAGCCUGAUCCAGCAAUGCCGCGUGCAGGAAGAAGGCCUUCGGGUUGUAAACUGCUUUUGUACGGAACGAAACGGCUCUGGUUAAUACCCGGGGCUAAUGACGGUACCGUAAGAAUAAGCACCGGCUAACUACGUG